AUGCGGAUGCUGGGGCUUCUCUUCUGCCUGCUGGCAGCUCCACUGGGUGUCCUGUCUAACCUGGCACUGUGGGUGUUGGGCCCAGGGCUGCUGAAGCCCUCACAGACCCUCUCCCUCCCCUGUGCUGCCUCUGGGGGCUCCAGAAGCAGCAGAUACUACUGGGAUUGGAUCCACAAGCAUCUGGGAAAAGAGCUGGAGUGGAUGGGGCACUGGAGUGGGAGCACAAACUACAACCCAGCUUUCCAAGGCCUCAUCUACAUCACUGCUGACACAGCUGUGAACAAAUUCUAUCUGCAGCUGAAGUCCAUGACUGAAGAGGACACAGCCACAUAUUACUAUGUGAGUCACAGUGAGGAAAAGUCAGGAUGA